AAAUGGGUUAUUCUUGAUGUGCUUACUUGGAAAAGCUCGAAGUUUCUUUCAAUUACCAGAUUAUUUUGUUCAUUUUAGAGCCAUCUGGGCUUGCCUAUAAUUUUUUGCACCAUGAUGAAGUUCAGUUUAUCAAUUUGUAUCUGUUUUUUAGUGUUUUAUAAUGGAAGUGCAGCAGUAAUAAACAAUGAAAACUUGCAGCCAACCUUUGGAUCAUUUUUUGGCUCGUGUCCUGAAGUAAAGGGAAUUCCUCGUUCUCUCUUUGAAGGCUCUGAAAAAGAAUGGUAUACGCAUCGUGUGCUGGGGAACUCGCCAUUAACGUAUGUGAGAUGCCUAUCCAACAAAUUUGAUUUCAAAACAGAGGACAAGCCCAGCAUAAAAACACAAUUUUUACUACCCAUUUUACCCAUAUCGUUCGAAAUUACUGGAGACAUUCGUUCUUCGAAUCCAGGAGAAUAUACAGUGAAUUAUGCUCAUGAAGUGCUUGGUAAUAUACUUGGGAAACUUGUUGUGACGCAAAAUCUUGGCAACACUGCAGUGGUAUGGAACUGUUUGGACUUCAAAUUUUUCCACUUGGAGAGUGUUGAGGUGUGGGAUACGACUUCUUCCGAUUCCCUUAUCUCAGGUUCAUUAAACAGGGCUACUCAAGCUGGUGCCAGAAGAUUAGGUAUUCCACCGUACCCUAACCCCUUUUCUGAGAUUGAUCAGAAAUCAUGCAAAUGAAUCCUAUUGUGUAAUCGAUUGGCCUAAUAUGUACUUGUAUUAAUGACUAGGUACCUAGUACCUACCUAUUUUAGCCUCGUCUUCGUGUAUCCAAGUACCUAUACUUACGUACAAUAAAAUAUAUGUAUAUUAGCAUUA